rnacentral:pre_miRNA from 1 species
AAAAAAAAUAAACCUGGUUUUCAUGUCCAACGUUUGAUUGUCUGUCUUAUAUGAAAUUUUUUUAUAAUUAGUAUUUUUAUUAUUGUUAGAUGAUAAAACAUGAUUAAUACUUUAUGCGUGACUUGUCUUUUUAAUUUUUUUUAUAAUUUUUUUUAAAUAAGACGGAUGGUUAAACGUUGGACACGAAAACUCAGAGUU